rnacentral:rRNA from 1 species
AACGAACGCUGGCGGCAGGCUUAACACAUGCAAGUCGAACGCCCCGCAAGGGGAGUGGCAGCCGGGUGAGUAACGCGUGGGAAUCUACCCUGAACUGCGGGAUAGCUCCGGGAAACUGGAAUUAAUACCGCAUGUGCCCUGAGGGGCAAAGAUUUAUCGGUUCAGGAUGAGCCCGCGUCCGAUUAGCUAGUUGGUGGGGUAAAGGCCUACCAAGGCGACGAUCGGUAGCUGGUCUAAGAGGAUGAUCAGCCACAUUGGGACUGAGACACGGCCCAAACUCCUACGGGAGGCAGCAGUGGGGAAUAUUGGACAAUGGGCGCAAGCCUGAUCCAGCCAUGCCGCGUGAGUGAUGAAGGCCCUAGGGUUGUAAAGCUCUUUCACCGGGGACGAUAAUGACGGUACCCGGAGAAGAAGCCCCGGCUAACUUCGUG